AGGAGAGUUUGAUCCUGGCUCAGGAUGAACGCUGGCGGCGUGCUUAACACAUGCAAGUCGAACGAAGCACUGAAGAAUGGAGAUUCGUCAAAGUUCUUCUUUGACUGAGUGGCGAACGGGUGAGUAAUGCGUGAGCAACCUGCCCUUCAGAGGGGGAUAACAGUUGGAAACGACUGCUAAUACCGCAUGAUGUGUUUGGAAGGCAUCUUCUGGAUACCACAGGAGAAAUCCGCUGAAGGAUGGGCUCACGUCUGAUUAGCUUGUUGGUGGGGUAACGGCUCACCAAGGCGACGAUCAGUAGCCGGACUGAGAGGUUGAACGGCCACAUUGGGACUGAGAUACGGCCCAGACUCCUACGGGAGGCAGCAGUGGGGAAUAUUGGGCAAUGGGCGAAAGCCUGACCCAGCAACGCCGCGUGAAGGAAGAAGGCCUUCGGGUUGUAAACUUCUUUUAACAGGGACGAAGAAGUGACGGUACCUGUUGAAUAAGCCACGGCUAACUACGUGCCAGCAGCCGCGGUAAUACGUAGGUGGCGAGCGUUAUCCGGAUUUACUGGGUGUAAAGGGCGCGUAGGCGGGAAUGCAAGUCAGGUGUGUAAUCUACAGGCUCAACCUGUAAACUGCACUUGAAACUGCGUUUCUUGAGUGUCGGAGAGGUUGACGGAAUUCCUAGUGUAGCGGUGAAAUGCGUAGAUAUUAGGAGGAACACCAGUGGCGAAGGCGGUCAACUGGACGAUAACUGACGCUGAGGCGCGAAAGCGUGGGGAGCAAACAGGAUUAGAUACCCUGGUAGUCCCCU
rnacentral:rRNA from 1 species